rnacentral:rRNA from 1 species
UAGGGAAUUUUCGUCAAUGGGCGCAAGCCUGAACGAGCGAUGCCGCGUGAGUGAAGAAGGCCUUCGGGUCGUAAAGCUCUGUUGCGGGGGAAAAAAGGCAACUACAGGAAAUGGUGGAUGACAGAUGGUGCCCCGCCAGAAAGUCACGGCUAACUACGUGCC